UACAUUGUCACAAAAGGGAUGCUACAAACUGACAGUGGAAGUGUCUGCUCCGUACGGAGUCUCAGCUCAGAGCAGCAGGAGUCAGAUUUCAUACACGGGACGAGAGAGAGUUGACAGGCAGGACGAUGGCGGAGGAUUUGGUGUCAAAGCGAAAAGCAAAAGCGUCUGUUUGGCAGUAUUCUGUAUCUAAACCCAACGCUAUAAGGGGACCAUAAUGUUGAUGAGACAAUCGCC